UUCACUUGAGGUUGUGGCCUUGAGCCGUGCUUUCGAAGCUACGCGUAAAGUAGACCGCUUGGGAGUACGGUCGCAAGAUUAAACUCAAUUGAUUGACGGGGCCCGCACAACGGUGGAGCAUGUGGUUUAUUCGAUGCAACGCGAAGAACCUUACCUACUCUUGACAUCUAGAGAAGCCAGCGGAGACGCAGGUGUGCUUCGGAACUCUGAGACAGGUGCUGCAUGGCUGUCGUCAGCUCGUGUUGUGAAAUGUUGGGUUAAGUCCCGCAACGAGCGCAACCCUUUAUCCUUGUUUGCCAGCGAGUAAUGUCGGGAACUCCCAGGGAGACUGCCGGUGAUAAACCGGAGGAAGGUGGGGACGACGUCAAGUCAUCAUGGCCCUUACGAGUAGGGCUACACACGUGCUACAAUGGCGCAUACAGAGGGCAGCAAGCUAGCGAUAGUGAGCGAAUCCCAAAAAGUGCGUCGUAGUCCGGAUUGGAGUCUGCAACUCGACUCCAUGAAGUCGGAAUCGCUAGUAAUCGUGAAUCAGAAUGUCACGGUGAAUACGUUCCCGGGCCUUGUACACACCGCCCGUCACACCAUGGGAGUGGGCUGCAAAAGAAGUGGGUAGUUUAACCUUUCGGGGAGGACGCUCACCACUUUGUGGUUCAUGACUGGGGUGAAGUCGUAACAAGGUAAC
rnacentral:rRNA from 1 species